CACAUGCCAUUCUGUAAUCCACCUAGAGUUUAUUUUGGUAUGUGGUCUAAGCUUUGCAUCUGAAUGUUUGUAUUCCAACAAGACCUAUUAAAAGACUAUUUGUUUUAUUUUUCCUUCCCCAGUGAACGUCUGAAAUCUGUCUCGUGGAAUGAGUGGCUGCCCUCUUCUCCGCCAAGCACCUGGACAUACUGAAGUUUAUCCACCUGCACCCUUGAAUCCCUGGCGCCUGAGAGAGGGCUCCUCAUCCCAGGUCACACCUCAGAAAUGACCAGACUCUGUUCCGGGGUCUUUCCACAAAGCUGGUCGGUGGAAUUCAAGCUUGAGAGCCAAGUCCAUUAACACACGCUCCCGAGCCAUUUGUCUGGCACUGACCUUGGGUGGACGCUCCUGUGUGGCUUACCUUGAAGACGUCUUCUUUCUAAAAUUCUAUCCUCUUCUUUAAAGACUUGAUCGGAUGGCGGUUAUGAAGGUAAGGACACGUGGAAGAAUGCCACUUUCCUCGACAGAUGAGACAGGUCCAAGAAGACAAUUUUUUCUUUAAGUGGGGUUGCUUUUUUUCUGAACAAGGCUUGCAUCCACAGUAAUUUUAUGCUACAAUGUGAAUAAUGGAUCUGGAAAACCUUUCUUUCCAGGACAGACGUAUAUAUACGAGGCAUUUUUUUCCCCCCUGCUAUUCAAUAAUGAUUAUUUUGAUUACACUGAGAAGUUCUUAGGUAAGUGGAACAAUAUAAAAUUAAUGUGAAAAAAAGGUAAAAAUGUGUUUUUGGGGGGUAUUAGACGGUGGUGAAACAGGUAAUUUGUGUGUGUGUGUGUGUGUGUGUGUUGAAUAACGCAGAGUAAAGUUAUCCUAAUUCCAUUCAUCAAUUAAUUUAAUUUUGAUUCCAUGUUAACCUCCUUUACUCAGUUCCUCUCCCCACCCCCACCCCCCCAAAUCCCUGUAAGGAAGCCCUGUGAAUGCCCCAGACACGAGGCUAUGAGAGCUUGGCUGAGCUCCUGCGUCUGGGGAUUACUUUCCAGAUUUAUUUGCGGGGUGUCUGUGCCGGGCAAGUCUUAGCUUUCGCAAAAGACUAAUUACUCCUUGUACCUUUUAACAUUAAAAUGCAUCUGAGACCUUGCCUCCAUUUAACACAACUCUGAGGCAUACCUUAUUCAGCAGAAGCAACGGGGGCCCCUGUCGCCAAGGCUUAGCAGAUAAGAAGAUUAGGACAACGGAUUUUAACUUUCAUUUCUUUGAUGCAAAAGGAUCCAGCGCAACCCCGGGGCAAGGGCUAAGACAACAGAGGUUGCAGAUUGGGAGUGUGGAGAAUUCGCUCUUUGUGCAUGCGUGCUAUUGGCCAGUGUCCCCAGCUCCUGUCCGGCUGUGCCCUCACUCCCCGACACCACCAGCUGCACCGUCAGGGAGGCCCCACGCACAAGGGACAUGUGGGUCUCUGUUCGGAAAGCAGAACUUGCUGUGAAAGGUGAUAAUAAAAUGCAAAGCUCUUCCCUUCUUGACCCGCCGUGGGGAUUUCGUUUGGACCUUGAUGUCAAGAUGGUCACUCAGUGGGAAGGGGGAGCCGCUGCGGGAGGGGGCAGGGAGCCGAGGGUGGCAGGCUGUAGGGAGGGGACACCCGAGAACCCAGCCUAGGGGGGCAGACAUCGGACCUCCCCUGAGCCAAGGCUCCCAACCUCAGAGCACACCCCACUGAAGCAUCGGAUUUCACCUAAAAAACACAAAUCCCAAGAUCAAAUUACUACUAAUGUCCAGAGGACGACUCAGAGCAUCAAAACCCGGGCGUGGAGCCCUUGUCAGCCCGGCUCUGUGUAGAGGACCAGACCCAAGUGAUCCCUCCUGUCGUUUCUCACCCUGCGUCUCAGCUUCCCGCCCCCUCGGCCCCACUCCUCGCGCUCAUCCGUGCAGAUGCGCAGUCACCGCACACGGGCUCGGCCAGUACCCCCAUUUCUUCCCCUGGGACCAAGUGGUAUACUCCGAAAUUUUAAAGUCAAAAGGAAAAGAAAGGAAAUCCUCAAUGCAUCACUGGCAGACCCUUUUACUGUCUCCGCAGAAUGAAUGAGUAGCAGAAUCAGUAGAGGCAUGGAUAUACUCAGAGUGUAAUUGCAGGAUUUCGUCCAGCAUCUGGCUGGUGCCAACCUGUGCCCCUUCAUGACUCCUGUUCCGGUCACACUGGCUGGCGCACCAAACCCACACCCACACCCACGCCCACCGGAUACGCCUUUGUUGCCUGGCCCAUUUCUAGCUCUGUCCCAAAC